GAUUCAGAGGACCAGUGGUUAGGCCACAGUGCUCUCACCGCUCUGGCCCGGGUUCGAUUCCCACCUAGGGAACA
rnacentral:tRNA from 1 species